GGGCGGGGGGUGUAGGUGACGUCAGGACUGCAGUCCCGAGGAGAGCGGCUGGAGAGGACUGCGCGCUCUUAGCCAAGGAAGCUGGAGGCGCACUCAGGCAGCCGCGGCUCCCGCGCUCCUCCCUCUCCUCUGCACCCGCUGUCACGCUGCUCACCCUCAGAACCGCGCCAGCUACCAGGUGAAUUGAAAGUCGUUUCCGGGGGAGGACGGAGAGGGUGCUGCAGUCCUGGCAUGCACUAAAACUGCAAGUCGGACAGAAACAACCCAGCAGAGGAGCUGAGCGCGCGGCGCUGAGCGCAGCAUCCCGGGGCGAAGGCUGCCACUGUUCAGCCGGCAGCCAAGCGCGGCGGCCAGACCUCCGCCCCGCACUCCGGCCCGGGGCUCGCUCGCUGGAGAGAGACUCCUUUCCCUUCUUGCGCAUUUCGCAGCUGCGCUGGUGUGGGGAAUGCGAGCGUGGUGGCUCCUUGUCGCCACGGAGCAGCUGCCGGUGCUAGAGCGAGCAGAGGCGAGGGGGCGGCAGCCUCGGCCCGAAAACUAUUCCCUUGGACCCUCAGUUUAAUGACUUCUAUCCACAAGCACAACUCUUAUCUGCAGCAAGAAAUAUUGAAUAUGGGCUCCCGCAGAGGCUCCACGGGAACCAGAUUGCCCAGGGCACACGGUUCAGCUGCACCAACAGCCAGUGCAGAGAAGUUACCAGAUGGAGAUACUGGGGUCCUAAGUCUGUAGCUGAUUACACAGCAUCCCAGAUACAAAAGUGGAGCCACCGGCCCGAGCCCGUGGAUAUCUUCCCCAUAGGACUGUACUACUCAUCUGUGGAGUCCUCCUCCUCCUCCUUAUUUUCUUUUUAGGUAAGUUCUGUUCUUUUUAUUAAAUCAUAAAAAUGAGCAUUGAUC
rnacentral:lncRNA from 1 species